AGACGAACCGUCCAAACGUUAUUCGGAAUCACUGGGCUUAAAGGGUGCGUAGGCGGCCUGUUAAGUUGGGUGUGAAAUCCCUCGGCUCAACCGAGGAACUGCGCCCAAAACUAGCAGGCUUGAGGGAGUCAGAGGUGAGCGGAACUCAGGGUGGAGCGGUGAAAUGCGUUGAUAUCCUGGGGAACACCGGUUGCGAAAGCUGCUCACUGGGACUUUUCUGACGCUGAGGCACGAAAGCUAGGGGAGCCAACGGGAUUAGAUACCCCGGUAGUCCUAGCUGUAAACGUUGAGUACUUGGUCGGAGGAUCUUCCAUAGUUUUCCGGCCGUAGCGAAAGUGAUAAGUACUCCGCCUGGGGAGUAUGGUCGCAAGGCUGAA
rnacentral:rRNA from 1 species